GCCAGAAGACACACGUGGAGCUGGAUCGGUCUGCUCGCUCAGGGAGGACUGGUUCUAGUUGGUAUGUUUCAGGAGAUAGUUUUAUUUUCAGCGCGUGUCUCACAGCUAGCUUAAUGGGAAUACUUUAUUACAGAUAUUUAAAAAACAUGGUAUCGGUUACUUUAUAAGGAAAUAGAUUUACAGGAAUGGUACAUUAGCAAUAGGCACCACACGUUAUACAGCGUGUGAUCGCAGUGGAAUUAAAUAGCUGUUUGAUUCAAUUGGAAAUGCUUAUUAAUAUAAUAAUUCGCACCUUAAUGACAUCUGUUGCCAACCCUUUUGUAUAAAUUCUGAAUAAUGUGUUACUAUCUAGGUUGCACUGACUGCAGUUAAAUUGGAUAAUCCUGUAUGUAAUGACUUGGAAUAUGUUUAUUAGAGUAGUUGUUAAUAAUCGUUAGCAGAAUGACAACAUAUUCUGCUGAGUUAUAUUUAGUGCAGUAUUUGCAGCCGUGUGUGUAAAGCGCCACGGAAUCUGUUGGCGCUAUAUAAAUGUUGAUGAUUCUAUUAUGCGUAGGAAACUCCAUUUUACUGCUGACCAUUAUAAAGUGUAUAUAGUAAACCUAUAUUAGCCCUGAAAUCUGUAGUGGUUAUUUAAACAAUGUUGCCUUUGUUUUCAUGUUUGCAUCAGCCUUGUGUACACGGUGGCCUAUAAGUCCCUACCAUCUAUAUAUCUUAUGCAUGGGUAGGGGCUUAUGGGCCAUCAUGUACUUGCAAACUAUUGGGUAUGGAACUGUUGUUCCACAUUCAUCAAUGUGACUUUUUUUUCUUUCUUCCUGUAAUACACCAAAAUGAUCGGUUUCCACCACUUACUCUUUCUAAAAAAAUUUUUUUUUUUAACAUUACAUUCACAAAACAAGGCAAAUGACUAUUUUUGGGAUAAAGGUGCAUUCACAAUUCUUAUGGAUUUUUAUUUACUUAUUUUUUCUGCCUGUUACUAAUGGGGUUAUCUAUACCCAUUUUGCUAAGAACUAGUUAUGGAAAGUGUAUGCAAAAGAGCAAUUUCUAAAUAACUUGAAAUCCGGCAUGAUACAUUCAUGUGACACAAAUUGUAUUUUUUGCUUUGCUUGUUUCUUGACUGACCAUGCCUUUUUCUUCCUUACAGUUUGUGGUAUCAAACAUGACUUUCUCUACAGUAAGUACAUCUCUGUAACUUUAUAAAGUGCACAUUGUGACUCUUAGCUUCCCGUUUCACCAUACUGGGUGGCUCUGUCACAUGUGCCAGAGAGACUCUCCCUAAAUAGCCAGAGCUGGUCUCAUAGUGACUGCUCUGGUUCGCAGAGAGAGAGACAUUACAAUGCAGGUUUUGUAUAGAACUUGUACUGUACUAUAGGGAUGGUUGAGUGUGGUAGGGCAUUCCAUAGAGGGAGGGAGGGUCAGCCCUGGGGAAGCACAGAGUCUGGGGUGUGAAAAUGGUUUACUAACAGGUUAUUGGUGGUUAUUGGGAAUCUUCAAAUGAAACAGCCAGUGUAGAGUCUGCUGGCAGAGGCAUGCAUUAUGUACUAUAGAGGGGCAAUAUGAGCACGCUUCAGGCUGAUGAGCAGAGGGCUGCCAUCAGAAAUGUUGGGGCCCCUGACACAGCCCAAGUGGACCCCAGGUCCGCCCAAAGUGCUGCCGCCGCCCCCCCAAUCUGCCCACAGGGCCGGUGCAAGGAUUUUUGCCGCCCUAGGCAGAAGUAAAGUUUGCCGCCCCCCAUGUGACAUCACAAUGCCCCACCCAUAUGAUCUGCCAUGUUAACUAACACCAGUGCUGCAGUGCCGCUGUGUUCACAUUAAAAGGCCUGCAGGGACAGGCUAGACACCAGAACCACUACAUUAAGCUGCAGUAGUUCUGGGGACUACAGUGUCCCUUUAAUGUGAGGUAAAUUAGAGAUUAGUACCACGAAUAAUAUACUAGAUGGCCUACUUACAACCAGAUGAGGAUGAUGGGCUCUAGCUGCCGUCUGGCUCCACUGGUCUGGUGUACAACAGGCUCUCUGGAGGCGGUUUGUAACGGUGGUCACAAAAAUCACUGUUCAGGGAGAACGGGAAGCAGCUCCCUUUUUUUUUUUUUUUUUUUGAGGGCCCUUUACACAGCUCAAGGUCUGGGUCAUGUUCCACCAAUGAGUUUGUUCACAGGGAGUGGAGUGUGUGUGGGGGGUGUCUUGAUGUGUGUAAGGAAUGCAUUGUGUGAAUCUGUGUUUGUAUGUGUAAGGGCUGCAAGGUGAGUUUGUGUAUGUAUGGGAUGCAGUGUGUGCGUCUGUAAGGGAUGCAUUGAGUGUGUGUGUAAGGGAUGCAUUGCUUGUGUCUGUGUAAUGCAUUGUUUUUCUGUGUGCAAGGGGUGCAUUGUGUGUGUGUGUGUGUGAUGGAUGUCAAUCUCUCCCCUUCUCCCUCUCCAGUUUCCUUCUUCUCCCUCUCCAGUUUCCUUCUUCUCCCUCUCCAGUUUCCUUCUUCUCCCUCUCCAGUUUCCUUCUUCUCCCUCUCCAGUUUCCUUCUUCUCCCUCUCCAGUUUCCUUCUUCUCCCUCUCCAGUUUCCUUCUUCUCCCUCUCCAGUUUCCUUCUUCUCCCUCUCCAGUUUCCUUCCAAAUGUAGCCUUAGAGGGAGGACAGGCAAGUAGGUUUGUUUUGUUUUUUUGUAGUUAUGUAGUCAGAAAUAGAUAGGUAGCUGGUGAGAUCUUCCAUCAGAUAGAAAGAUGAGAGAAGCGGAGUCUGAAUAUAAUCAGCGUAGAAGUGAUAUUGAAAGCCAUGGGAUGAUAUGUCACCAAGAUAGGAAAUCUAAAUUGAAAAAAGAGCUCCGAACCUUUAGGAACUCACACUGAGAGGUACAGAAGGGGAGUAGGAACCAGAGAAGACCUUAAAGGAGCGGUUAGACCUACAGGAAGAAAACACACUAAGGUUUUGAAGGAGAAGCAAGUAGUCAACUGUGUCGAAAGCUGCAGAAACAUUAAGUAGCGAAUAGUCGUCACUAGAUUUUACUGUGACAGUCAUUAGUUACCUUGGUCAGGGCAGUGGAAUGUUGGGAGGGGAAGCCACACUAGUGGGUCAAGUAAGGAGUAUGGAUCAGUUUGUGACCCAUGCUAUGUUUAAGGAAGCAUUUCAAGGAGUUUGGAAGCAAAGGGAUAGCUAAGCAAAGCAUCUAGGUCAAGAGAAGACUUUGUAGUAUGGGUGUUUGAAGUACAAGGGGAAAAAUGCCAGAGGAAAGAGGGAGAAUAAGUCUAGUAAAAGAUUAAAUUGUCACUGAUGUGAGAUCGAGGGUUUAAGGAGUCACACAGAAGAACAGGAAUAAAGUAGAAGUUCAGAAACUAGAGAAGACUUUUUUUGUGUAGAGGAUGCCAGACAGUCUGAGGAUAAAGAGGCAAUUUCUUUUCGUCUGUUGUUGAUCAUACCAGUGACGUAGAAUGCUAGUUUGAUAGCCGUUAGAUUAGUAGAAGGGGAAGGUGAUGUGAAUUAAAGGGACACUAUAUAGUCACCUGAACAACUUAAGCUUAAUGAAGCAGUUUGGGUGUAUAGAACAUGCCCCUGCAGCCUCACUGCUCAAUUCUCUGCCAUUUAGGAGUUAAAUCCCUUUGUCUAUGAACCCUAGUCACACCUCCCUCCAUGUGACUUGCACAGGCUUCCAUAAACACUUCCUGUAAAGAGAGCCCUAUUUAGGCUUUCUUAAUUGCAAGUUCUGUUUAAUUAAGAUUUUCUUAUCCCCUGCUAUGUUAAUAGCUUGCUAGACCCUGCAAGAGCCUCCUGUAUAUGAUUAAAGUGCAAUUUAGAGAUUGAGAUACAAUUAUUUAAGGUAAAAUACAUCUGUUUAAAAGUGAAACCAGUUUUCUUUAUUUUUUUUUAUGCCGGCUCUGUCAAUCAUAGCCAGGGGAGGUGUGGCUAGGGCUGCAUAAAGAGAAACAAAGUGAUUUAACUCCUAAAUGACAGUGAAAUUGCAGGGGAAUGAUCUAUACACUAAAACUGCUUUUAUUUAGGUGUCUAUAUAGUGUUCCUUUAAAUGUUGGAAGGAAGUUGUUAGAGCACAACUGUAGAACUUAUUCUACAUAUCAUAGCCAUGAAGUUAAGUGGUAGGUAUCUAGUGGGUCUGGCAUCCCCUAUUUUAUUACACCACUAUGUUCAUAUUACUGAUUUACCGUCUUGUGUGCUCUUCAAAAAUAGGCCUGAUGCAGUCAUAACACAAAUGGCUUUUGAUAUUUUAGCUUUGGUUGUUUCUUCACUAACAUAUUGUUCCUAAUUGUUCCUUUAGUUUGUGAUGUCAAACCUGGAGUUUAAGCUGCCACACAAUGUCAGACCGACACGGAGAAAAUUACCAGGAAUAUGUCUAUUGACUGGAUGAGGUCUGUUUCACCAGAAAAUUCAUCUAUGUAUUCUUAUACUGUGCACACUGACUUUCAGCUUUCCCAGUUUCACCUUACUGGGUGGCUCUGUCACGUGUGCCAGAGAAAGUCUCCCUUAAUAGCCAGAGCUGGUCUCAUUCAUACUGCUCUGGUUCGCAGAGAGAGAUACAUUGGAAUGCAGAUUUUUACAUAAUUUAGUAUUUACGUCUUCAUAAAAUGUGCGCAGUAGAGUACUAAAUUUGUAACAGUCUUCUUGAAAAAAGGAAAUUCAAAAGAAUAAGUAAUGUUGCACACAAAUAAGGAGUAAUAUAGACUUAUAAAGUUGAUUUUUCUAUUAGGAAUCCAAAUUUUGUCUUUGACAAUUCUUUUAAAACAAAUCUUUAAGGACUUAAUUUAACCUAUUACAGCCCUGAAGUCAGUGGGAGGUUAUUUAUCUAGCUAAUGGGGAGGGGGAGCAAUCUUCCUCCUUUUUACUGUUAUGGAAACUGUGCCACAGAACUGUAUUCAUACUACAGUAAUGAGUCUUUUGAAUAUCUCUGAAUUAGACACUACUGUCACAAAAUAACCUUUGCUUAAUUAAGUGUUUGUGUAGUAUCAUUGCUCAGUUAUCUGCCAUUUAGGAGUUACAUCAUUUUGUGUAUGCAGCCCUAAGCCAUCCUCCCUGCAUGUGACUUGCACAGCCUUUCUAAACACUUCCUGUAAAGCCUCCUGUAUGUAAUUGCAGUUUUAUUUACAGAGCAGAAGAUACAAACUUUUAAAGUUCCAUCCAAAUGAAACUUUUAUAUUUAAUAUAUAUGCACGCAUGCUGUGUGGCUGGGGCUGCAUAAACAGAAACAAAGUGACUUAACUCCUUAAUGGCAGAGAAUUGUGCAGUGAGACUGCAUGGGAAUGAUCUAUACACCAAAACUGAUUCAUUAAGCUAUUAAGUUAUUUUGGACACUUAAGUGAUCGUAAUGACUUUUGACACCACGGUUUAGAUUUUUACCUUUUUUGGACUGGACUGACACUGCAUUUCUUUGUUCUUUGCAGCUUGAAGUAGCAAACAUGGAUUUUAACCUUCUACAAAAUGGCAAAAUCGCAGAAGAUUAACUGUAAACCACCUAUCAGCAUAUGGAUAAGAUCUUCUCCACUGUAAGAAUGUGUAUAUUGAUCUAGAUUUAUCAAUCUAGGGCUUCAACUCACCUGAACAUGCAUACAUUGUAGGGUGCUGCUGGGGCCAAAAUAUACAGAAUCCAGUGCACUUACUUAUUCACUAAACAAUGAUUUCAAAUCUUAGAGAUUGUAAUAGUUAUUUAAAAACACCUCACCUAGGCAAAAAAUAAUGGGGGUUUAGUUACAUUAUAUGAUCAUACAUUGCAUAAGCCUGCCAACUACAUCAAAGUACCCCAUAUUCGGCAGGUCCUAUCCUAGUAGCAGCCUAAUGCUUGCUCUUAUGAGAUUGCUGGAUUCUGAUAGAUAUAGAGAUAGAGAGAAUAUAUAUUUAAAUAUACUGUGCGCUCUGACUUGGCGCUUCUACUGUUUCAUGAUACUAGGUGGCUUUGUCACAUGUGCCAGAGUUUCCCUGAAUAGUCUGAGCUGGUUUGCAGAGAGAAAGAGGCCUAUCUGAAAAAUGAGAAUCUCCCUCUGUGGCAACUAUAGAUGGAGAAAUGCAUCUGUCAAAGUCUUGUGCAAUUAAAGCUUUUCUUAACUGCCUGGAGCACUGACUACAAUCUGACUUAAAUUGACAAUGUCUUACAUAUGGUCUCAUUGUAUAGCAAGUACAAUACUAUGCACAUUGUGACUUUCAACUUCCCCUUUUACACCAUACUGGGGUUGUUUUGCCGCAUGUGCCAGAGGAAAAUCUCCCCAGACAGCCUUAGCUGGUCUAAUAGUGACUGCUGUGGUUCGCAGAGAGAGAAACAUUAGCAGUGUAUAUUUGCAUACUAUGUCCUUUAUUUGUAUGUGUUGGUUUAUGAAAGUGCUGCAUUUUUCUUUACAAAGGCUCUGAUUUCAGACAUGUGGCUACUGGACAACCUGUUGUAAUAAAGCUUCCUUGCCAACUAUCUCCUGGGUUAUCUAGUAAUAGAGCACACAAUCUUAGUAUGUCGCCCUGUAGACUUGUUUCAAUUGAGUUUUUGAACAUAUGCCCUUACUAAGUUUACCUAAUAGUCUGGUAUUCAAGCUUUUCCCCAAAUCCAUAUGUAACUUUGAACUGAAAUGAGUGAUUCAUGUUACAAUUAUUCUUCAGACUUCAGAAUUACUUACACUUAGGCAUUUACUAAAAGUACUCUGAUAAAUUUAAACUUAAUUGCUUGCCCAAUGGCUAGUUCAAGUGAUACUCUGUAGAAGAUCAGGUUCCCAUACACAAGUGCAGCCGAAGAUUGACAUGGCUGGCUGGUCUCCUGUGCAUAAGGAGUUCCUGAUAUGUUUAUAUACAUAUGAAGAAGUUAGCAGAAGCAAAUUAAAUAUAUUUGGGACAUUAACUAUAUUACAGGCAUUUAUAAAGCGCCAACCUAUUCCGCAGCGCUGUACAAUUGGGAAAGACAACACCAUAAGAAAAGGCCAAUACAACAGGUAGAGGGCCCUGCCUAUGAACUUACAAUCUAGAGGUUAAACUGGGGAGAUGAGACAAGAGGUAGCAGAGGGAUUUGUAUGUGAUGGCACAGAGUUAAUAGUAUAACUGCAGUAGCUGAUAACAUGAAGGGAAGGAGGAAGUGAUUGGCUGUGGUUCCAAACAGCUGGAAGAGCAUGCUAUAUAGUUAAAAGGAACCAGGGUGGGUGGGAUGAACUGAGUAAAAUAAAAAGGCUUUGUAGCAGGGAGUAUGGUGAUUUGGCACUAAGGAAAAGAUAAAAGGGUUACUUGAAAGUAAUUUACAGCUGGGAGUGAAGGAAUGAGCAGGCUAGCCAUUUGUUAUAAACAAGUAAGAAUUUGCCAACCAAAAUUCAAUCAGCCAGAUUAACUACAUGUUACAUAAAGUACAAAAUAUUAUAGUACACUAUAUAUGUAACAAUGGUAGUAUCCUUAUAGUAAAGGAACAAUCUGAUAACAAAAUAAAAUCUGGUUAAAGGACCACUAUAGGCACCCAGACCACUUCAGCUUAAUGAAGUGGUCUGGGUGCUAGGUCCAGCUAGGUUUAACCCUCUUUGCUGUAAACAGUUUCAGAGAAACCAUGUUUACAUAUUGGUUAAUCCAGCCUCUAGUGGCUCUCAUUGACAGCCGCUAGAGGUGCUUCUCACUGAUUUUUUUCAGUGAGUAUGCUUUCCUAUGAGUCUGGCUGAAUGCACGCGGCUCUUGCCAUGCAUGAGCUUUCAGCCGGUGACGUCAGAAGAGGGAGGAGAGUCCCGGCGCCGGAAAAAGGAUUAACCCCUUCAGCGCCACAGAAGGGGGACCCUCAGGGCACACUAGUGCCAGGAAAACGAGCUUGUUUUCCUGGCACUAUAGUGGUCCUUUAAAUAUCUAUCUACUCGUCUGUCAUAACUUACAGCUGCAGUGUUCAAAAUUAAGUUGACCUAUGAACAGAUUCCCCAUGUUUCUUUUAGUUGGCAGUAACCAGAUGUGGAUUUUAUCCCUCCUGAGCAUGGCAAAUCACAACGAAGAUUAACUGUAAAACAUCUCUCAUGACAUGAAUAUGAUCUCAUUCUACAGUAUGUACAUGUCUGUACAUUUUCCGCACCCUGUGACUAUCAGCUCUCCCUGUUUCACAAUACUGGAUGGUCCUGCCAUGUAUGCCAGAGAAACUCUCUUCAGAGAGCCUGAGCUGGUGUGAUGGUGACUGUUCUGGUUUGCAUGGAGAGGGACAUUGAAAUGUUGGUUCAUGUAAAAUACCUAGUGCAUGCACAACACAUUUUUAUGUAAAAUGUAUACUGGAGAACUACAUUAGAUUCCUGUAGCCAUGGUGGGUUUAUUUAAACAUUAUUUUGUUUAAUUUCAAAUUGUUGAGGUGGUGUGGUCAUUUUAAAUUGAGUACUCUAAAAUGCAUGUUUUUCCUUUCCCAUUCAGCAUCAGAAAGAAAGUCUGACUCCUAGUAAGUAUCUGUAUAUAUUUUUACACUAUUUCUGAUCAGCUCUGUUCUUCCAUGUCAGAUAUUCUUCUAAGACCACCUGAGCUGGUCUCCUGGUAAUUACUGUAAUUUGCAUCAAUACAAACAUUGUGCUUUUAGUGCAAUUAUCUUGUCCUUUACGUACAAUGAAUUUCCCACCAGUCCAUAAUUCAUAUUCACUAAAGCAACCUUCAAUUGCAACUGCCGUUCCCUCAAGUGAUAUGUAAAUGUAAAGCUCUUAAUGUGAUCAACAUGGUCUCUCACAGUAUAACAAGUACAAUACUAUGCACAUUGUGACUUUUAGCUUCCCCUUUUUCUCCGUACUGGGGUUGUUUUGCCAUGUGUGCCAGAGAAAAUCUCCCCAGACAGCCUUAGCUGGUCUCAUAGUGACUGCUCCGGUUCGCAGAGAGAGGGACAGUUUUUUGUGUGUUUUUUUUUUUUUUUUCUCUCUAUCGUGUGAAUGUAUACAUGCAUGGCUAAAAUUCAGAGUAGGGUUUGAUCAGUAAAGAACAUUUUUUUUUUUUUUAUAUUUUUUUAUUUUUUUUGCAGAUGCUUAUAAGUCUUGGAAGAUUCAGCCUAUGUAGUUUCAUGUUGGAACAUAGAGAUCCAUUAUUUUGACGCUACAGAGAAAAUCGGCCUGAAAUGGGGUUUCAGCAGAAUGGUGCUACUGCUCAUACAGCCAGGGCCACAAUGGACCUACUAUGACAACUGUUCACAGAUUAAUUGACUUUCACAUUUGCCCAACCUUUCAGCAUCCUUUGGUUUGUUAAUGUACACCCGCUUCUUCAGAUAUCCCAAACAGCGCAAGGAGAAUAACUGUGCAGAAACUUGAGCACUAGUGAUGUCCCGACCGGUUCGCUGGCGAACAUCGGUUGUUCACCACAGAGGGCGAACAUAUGCGCUGUUCGGUCCGCCCCUAUUCGUCAUCAUUGAGUAAACUUUGACCCUGUACCUCAGUUAGCAGACACAUUCCAGCCAAUCAGCAGCAGACCCUCCCACCUCCUGGACAGCAUCCAUCUUACAUUCAUUGUGUAGCUGCUGUUAAUUUGAUAGGGAAAUUGAUAGCUAGGCUAGUGUAUUCAGUGUCCACUACAGUCCUGAAGGACUCAUCUGAUCUCUCUGGCCUCACUACCCACACACCACCCUCAGCUUUGCUACCCCAUGCACACCACCACCCUCAGCCUUGCUACCCCAUGCACACCACCACCCUCAGCCUUGCUACCCCAUGCACACCACCACCCUCAGCCUUGCUACCCCAUGCACACCACCACCCUCAGCCUUGCUACCCCAUGCACACCACCACCCUCAAACUUGCUACCCCAUACACCUAGGGUCUCCGACAAAAAAGCAAACAUGCUCAGACACACAUUCACACACAAGGAUACUGUCAAGCACAUACACAGGUAAACUGCAUCAAUGUGUAUAUGUGACACUCUUUUGUUAGUAGGACCUCAUGUUUGAGUUUCGCUUAAGGCUUCAUAAAGUCUAGAGCCGCCUCUGGGUGUCCCAAUAGCUUGCAUUUAAAAAAAAAAAAAAAAAAACUUUUUGGACUGUAAUAUAAUAGCAGUCAGUUUCCUUCACGCGUGUGCAUUUCAGGUCCUGCCAGGGCAGUGUCACACCAGUGCACCAUAUCUGGUGUAACAGUGUAUAUUUAAAAAAAAAAAAAAUACAAUUUUGACUGUAGUAGAUUGAAUAGCAGUUGUCUGCAAGCAUGUGUCAGGCCUACAGCGUCUACUCUGCCAACUUGUGCCACUCAUAUCUGUCACAGUAGCUUGCACGCAUAGUACCACUAAUCGGAAAAAGACAGGCAGAGGCAGGCCACCCCGCAGGGGCUGUCGUGGUGCUGUGAUUCCCUUUGGCCCUAGAAUAAUGCCCAGAGGCCACGUACCCUGAACUCGAAGUUCUGAGGACAUAGUUGACUGGCUAAUACAGGACACCCAAUCUUCUACAGCUUCUGUUCGGAACCUUGACGCACCAUCCUCUUCCAGCUUAGCUGAGGUGGUGGGGGUGGGGGAAGCCUACCUUCUGUUCCCUGGUGGUCCAGUGGCCACGAGCUGCAGACUGUGUAAUAUUGCGAGACCAUCAGAGCGUUGCCGUGGUAACCCGCGGCAAUGCUCUGAUUGGCCAAUUCUCGCGAGACACAUGGUCUGCAGCUCUGCUCAUCGUUCGCAAACUGAAAAUUUUAUGUUCGACAUUGAGCACUAGAGCCUCACACAUGAAGUAAUGUUAUGGACAAUGUAAUUGAAAAUGCCUGACUUUGCGAUGCAGCAGAUGGAGCUCAUUUAAAAUGUUGUCUUACUUGGUUAAGCAUUCAGUGUAUGUAAUAUCUUUUGAAAAUGAUUCAUUAAUAAAGUUGACUCCUCAAACCCCACUCUGAUUU